UAAAUUUUAGUUUAAAUUAAAAUGAUUCAUUUACAUUGAAUGGAUAAUAUAAUAAAGUAUUAAAUUUUA
rnacentral:tRNA from 1 species